AGAAUGAAAACGUCCCGUUAGAGGCAGUGGACGCCGCAGCUGAUUGGACAGGAGUUUAAAAAGCAGGCACUGUCACUUUAAGAAGCAGUUCUUACCUGGACAGCCGCCACAGAAGGUAACCUACGCUUUAUAUCUUCAGCACGACUACAUUCAUGUACAUAUAGCUUUUAAUCACCCACUUUUGCUUCAAAAUAACCUUAGGCUGCUGUCAAAAAGGCUUUUCAGCCCCUGUCAACUAUCUGUCAGUGUAUGGAAAAGAACAGCAUGAACAUGCCUCAGAAGGUCUACUUUUGUCUCGUACAGUUUUGCGGUGACAUCAGGAAGUGGCUGGUUCAAUAUUAUGGCAUCCCUGGUGACAUGAGUAGAGGAGCUAUUAUGACUGAUGCUCCAGAGGAAGGGGAGGAAAAAGCCAACGGUGUGGUUUGGGUUCUUCGCUGAGAGCUCUGGAAACCCGACCCUCACCGUCCAACCGGAACAGGAGGAGGGAUGAUCAGGGGACUUGUUGCAAUCGCUCAACCCUAUUCCCAACCGCACACACCAACACACUCCUUCUGUCAUGCCCACCUUCUUCCUUUCUUCUUCUUUUCCUUUUUUUGUCCUGUAUGGAAAUACGUGCCUGCCAUUAUUGGUGUAUUUCUUUAGACGUGUCAGGAAUUCGAGGCUUGGGG
rnacentral:lncRNA from 1 species